rnacentral:rRNA from 1 species
AGCGUGACGGCGCGAGCAGGUGCGAAAGCAGGUCAUAGUGAUCCGGUGGUUCUGAAUGGAAGGGCCAUCGCUCAACGGAUAAAAGGUACUCCGGGGAUAACAGGCUGAUACCGCCCAAGAGUUCAUAUCGACGGCGGUGUUUGGCACCUCGAUGUCGGCUCAUCACAUCCUGGGGCUGAAGUAGGUCCCAAGGGUAUGGCUGUUCGCCAUUUAAAGUGGUACGCGAGCUGGGUUUAGAACGUCGUGAGACAGUUCGGUCCCUAUCUGCCGUGGGCGCUGGAGAACUGAGGGGGGCUGCUCCUAGUACGAGAGGACCGGAGUGGACGCAUCACUGGUGUUCGGGUUGUCAUGCCAAUGGCACUGCCCGGUAGCUAAAUGCGGAAGAGAUAAGUGCUGAAAGCAUCUAAGCACGAAACUUGCCCCGAGAUGAGUUCUCCCUGACUCCUUGAGAGUCCUGAAGGAACGUUGAAG